GGUUUGGAAGGCUGAGAUCACAGAGUCGGCGUUUUGGUUUGCAGCACAGCAGCUAUGACUGCAGGAGAUCAACUAGAAUUUGUGGUCUCAGCUGUGAAUCUAGUAAUGGAAUCUAAUAUCUGGAAUAAACCUACUGGGCGUCAUGACAGUGCUUUCCUUUAGUCUCCU